UACAGAGGGGGCAAGCGUUGUUCGGAAUUACUGGGCGUAAAGGGUGCGUAGGCGGCCUGCUAAGUCGAACGUGAAAUCCCCGGGCUCAACCCGGGAACUGCGUCCGAUACUGGCAGGCUUGAAUUCGGGAGAGGGAUGCGGAAUUCCAGGUGUAGCGGUGAAAUGCGUAGAUAUCUGGAGGAACACCGGUGGCGAAGGCGGCAUCCUGGACCGAAAUUGACGCUGAGGCGCGAAAGCCAGGGGAGCAAACGGG
rnacentral:rRNA from 1 species